UAGCUGGUUGGUGAGGUAACGGCUCUACCAAGGCAACGAUCAGUAGCCGGCUUGAGAGAGUGAACGGCCACAUUGGGACUGAGACACGGCCCAGACUCCUACGGGAGGCAGCAGUGGGGAAUAUUGCACAAUGGGGGAAACCCUGAUGCAGCGACGCCGCGUGAAGGAAGAAGUAUCUAGGUAUGUAAACUUCUAUCAGCAGGGAAGAAAGUGACGGUACCUGACUAAGAAGCCCCGGCUAACUAC
rnacentral:rRNA from 1 species